UGCGCCCAUCACCAAAAACUACGAGCAAUGUGGGGCUAUGUAUGUCCUUCAGGGCCAGCACGGAGAGAGUUGUCCCCUUUUGGCAACGUUAGUUUCCCAACCUGCAAUAAUCCCAGCACCGCCCCUGCAGAGAAUCUACAUUUCAGAGGUUCGCGUAUUUAUCCGAAUCAGCAAAUCGGGGAGGCCAGAUCCUACUGGGCAUUUUUUUUUUUAAUGGAAUAACUAUAAAAUUCCACCCUGUGGUCGACAACCAAGUAACGGAGGCUUCAUAUGUAUUGGAGAAAAAGGUCCUCCGUCCGCCCAGGCCUCUCCUUCCCAUCCAAGGCAGGGAACCGCGAGAUCUCGCUCACCCAGCCCACAUCCCAUCAAAAGCUGCCUUCCAUCCCAAACUGCGCCUUCCCAGCCGGAGACCCCCGCGGAGCAGCCGCAAUCGGCCACGAGGGGCCUACGAUCCGAGCCCCCACAGCCCGCCCGUCUCCAUCCUGCUCCUCCGACCGAAGACCACUUCCAUCUCUUCUCACCACCACCACCACCACCCCCGGCCUUACAGCGCAGACACAAAUUCAGCCAUUGCGCUUUCUCUCCCCCCCCUCCCCGCCGCGGUUACCGCUGCCCGCAACGCCAGCGGAGGCCGAGGCCGUCCUCCCUCCCUCUGCGUCGUCGUUGUUGGUUUUUUGUUUUGUUUUUUUUGGUGUUUUUUUUUUUUUUGCUGCGCUCAACGUCUCCCGCCUUACAAGGCCUCGUUCUCCCCGUCAGCCCCCUUCGCCCACUCCCCGCCCCGCAAUCCUUCCCUCCGAAAGAGCCGGGCCGGGCCUAUACCUGGCGCCGCAGCCUCUCAGCUUGCCUAAAAACUCCGCGCCCGCCCGCGGAAGGAGCCUCCGUCUCCCCCACUUAGGCUUCGGGUCGGGUCAGGCUACUGCUCGAGCCGUCGCCUCCGCCUUCUUCUUGUUUCUCCUCCUCACGCAGCGGCCUCUCCUUUCGUCGGCCUCUGCCCUCGCAAUCCAAGCGCAGCCAGCAGCGCAGACAUGUUGGAAGCCUGUAUCCCAGCGGCCGCUACUAGGCCCUCCCUCCUUCCCUGCCGCGCAACGUCAGAAUGCACCGGGUGGGAGGAGGGGACAAGAGCCCCCUCCCUUACCAGAGCCUCGGCGAGAG
rnacentral:lncRNA from 1 species